rnacentral:rRNA from 1 species
GACGAACGCUGGCGGCGUGCCUAAUACAUGCAAGUAGAACGCUGAAGGAGGAGCUUGCUUCUCUGGAUGAGUUGCGAACGGGUGAGUAACGCGUAGGUAACCUGCCUGGUAGCGGGGGAUAACUAUUGGAAACGAUAGCUAAUACCGCAUAAUAGCAGUUGUUGCAUGACAACUGUUUGAAAGGUGCAAUUGCACCACUACCAGAUGGACCUGCGUUGUAUUAGGUAGUUGGUGGGGUAACGGCUCACCAAGGCGACGAUACAUAGCCGACCUGAGAGGGGGAUCGGCCAAACUGGGACUGAGACACGGCCCAGACUCCUACGGGAGGCAGCAGUAGGGAAUCUUCGGCAAUGGACGGAAGUCUGACCGAGCAACGCCGCGUGAGUGAAGAAGGUUUUCGGAUCGUAAAGCUCUGUUGUAAGAGAAGAACGAGAGUGAGAGUGGAAAGUUCACACUGUGACGGUAUCUUACCAGAAAGGGACGGCUAACUACGUG